rnacentral:rRNA from 1 species
CCUACGUGGGGCAGCAGUGGGGGAUAUUGCACAAUGGGGGGAACCCUGAUGCAGCGACGCCGCGUGGGUGAAGAAGCGCCUCGGCGCGUAAAGCCCUGUCAGCAGGGAAGAAAAUGACGGUACCUGAAGAAGAAGCCCCGGCUAACUACGUGCCAGACGCCGCGGUAAUACGCAGGGGGCAAGCGGUAUACGGAUAUACUGGGUGUAAAGGGGGCGCAGGCGGGUGUGCAAGCCAGGAGUGAAAGGGCGGGGCCCAAUCCCGGGUUUGCUCUUGGAACUCCGUGGCUGGAGUGCAGGAGAGGCAGGCGGAAUUCCUGGUGUAGCGGUGAAAUGCGUAGAUAUCAGGAGGAACACCGGUGGCGAAGGCAGCCUGCUGGACUGCAACUGACGUUGAGGCCCGAAAGCGUGGGGAGCAAACAGGAUUAGAUACCCUUGUAGUC